AAGCAUUACGAAAGCACUGAAGAUGCCUCUGGUAGUUCUCAGGCCAGCAUCGUUGAACGGUCCGGUGUCAUCCCAAUCUCUUCCUACAGUUCCAAAUCGCACUACGAGAAUGGCAGAACUGUUUUCUCCCAAGUCAGCUACACUCCUAGGGAGGCAAUGCCUGUUGACAGUGGAAAUGCUCCCAAGGACGGUUAUGUUAGCAUUGGUGCACCAAGCAUAUAUGCAACACUAGUGAAGGAUUCUGCAAGGGAAAUAUAAUUGAUUCAUCCUCUAGAAGCUCUAAUGGUGAGUAUUGAUUUUGACAUUGGUUACUUAACAUUCUGUGUUGCUGACACUGUUUGCAUUUCUGCUUUUUAGACCAGGAAGUUGCUGGUGCUCUUGCUACUCUAGUGUGAUGGAAUCAAUAAACAAUUUGACUUU